rnacentral:misc_RNA from 1 species
AUCACUACACCACUUCCCGCCUUCCAUUUACAUCAUCAUCACAUCUACCAUCUAUAAAAUACCUUAAUUAUUAAAAAAAGAAUACAUUAUUAAUCUUUAAACGAAAAGGUGUUUUAUCGUGACAUGUGCGAAAUAAAAUGUGUUGAAAAAAAUAAUAAAUAUUAAAAAAGUAAUUCGAAAAUAAAAGUGGAAAUAAAUAGAAUUAUAAUUACAUUUCUAGUUGAAAACAUAAAGUUUGAAUUUGGAAUGUGGUAGCGGCAGAGGCGCCAAACCUUUUCCGUGCUGUGUACGUUACGUAACGGUUCCGGACAAAAUCGAUAUUGUGAGCGUAUAAAUAGCGGUCCGCGAUUGAGAACAGCUGGCUAGUCGCCAGCCAUGCAGCCUACGAGGAUGCGCCGGCCCCGGCGGCACCGCUGGCUGACCCUGUCAGUGUUCUUCGUGGCGUAUUCGGUGUUCCAGGCUGUGUUCAGCCCCAGCUCGACAGCCUCCACCGUAGGCCCCUCCACCGACGUCGACGAGCCCUCGUCCCAGAGAGAUAACCCGAUUACGAUCCCUGAGAAAGAUGAGAAAGAUAUCAGCACAACGCCACUGUCAAUGGCGGAGAAUGAGUAUAGCACGAGAAGCGGUAAGAAGGCCAUGAAGGGACUAGUCGAUGAAGAAGAAGAAGAAGAUGAAAGCGAGAAGAAGAAACAAAAAGAUGCCGGAUAUGUAGAGGAGGGGGAGUUCGAUGACACGCCACCGACUGUCCACCCCCUCAGGAACUGUACUCCGCCAGCCAUUGAACAGUUCCCUCGUCCCCUGAUGGGCCAGUACGCGCGGCGUCACGGAGGACUGAUCAUCCACGUCCUCGUGUGUGUGUUCACCUUCAUUGGCCUAGCCAUCGUGUGUGACGAGUACUUCGUCUCCAGUCUUGACAGGAUCUGCGAAGAGCUGAAGCUGGCACCAGACGUCGCGGGCGCAACGUUCAUGGCGGCGGGCAGUUCUGCGCCGGAGUUGGCUACCGUCAUCAUCGGCGUCUUCUGUGCGCAGGAUGACAUAGGUGUGUCUGGCGUGAUCGGCUCAGCGGUGUUCAACAUAAUGUUCGUGAUCUCCGUGUGCGCGCUGUGUGCGGGCACCGUGUCACACCUCAACUGGUGGCCGUUGUGCCGCGACUGCUUCUUCUACGCCCUCUCUAUCCUCGUCAUGCUGUGCACCAUAUGCAAUGGAUACGUCUCCUGGCCGGAAGCAUUGUUCAUGCUGAUAAUGUAUGGGGUUUACUGCAUCGCUCUGCGGUUCAACACCGCACUGGAGCGUUGGGCCAUGACCAUCAAACUGCCCUUCAAGCUGCCCACACGGGAAGAGCAGGCUGCCUUAGUCACAUACAAGAGCGCGCAGGCGCAACCAGCCGCUGCCGCGGGCGACGCGCAGUACACCGAGGUGGAGGGACAGACCAAGGAGACUGCGUUACAGAAUCCGCCGUACAACCCGGACGGCGCGUACGACAAUGCGGCGUACAACGCGGGCCCCACUAACGCUUGGGACCCCAACAGCAGCUGGGACCCUAACAACGCCUGGGGCGAGCAAACGAACACCGCGGCACAGGCGCCGGCGGCGAUCGGCUGGGGCCUGCCGCCCGAGCCCACGGCACCCGCGCAGGCCCCGCGCCCAGCACUGUCCGCCGGCAGCACGCCUGGUGACGCCCCGCAGCCGCAGCCGCAGCCACAGGCCCCAGUGGUACCAACCUACUACAAAGCAAAGGAAUACAACCCGGAGACAGCUGUCAACCCCCUCAUCAAACCUGCCAAUGCGAAUCCUCUGCAGCUAGCGUUCUGGUACGUAGCGUAUCCCAUCCACUGGUCCUGCCGCCACACCAUGCCUGACUGCCGCGGGCCCUGGUACCCUGUCACGUUCCUCGUCUCCAUGUUGUGGAUCUCAUUCUACUCAUACUUCAUGGUCUGGAUGAUUACUAUCAUUGGUUUCACCCUGGGUAUCCCGGACACGGUGAUGGGUCUAACGUUCGUGGCUGCUGGCGUAUCUGUCCCGGAUGCGCUCUCAUCACUCGCCGUCAUCAAGGAAGGAUACGGUGAUAUGGCGGUGUCCAACGCGGUGGGGUCCAACGUGUUCGACAUCCUGGUGUGCCUGGGGCUCCCCUGGUUCAUACAGACGGCCAUCAUCCAGCCAGGCAGCCACGUCAACGUCAUCAGCAAAGGUCUGGUCUACUCGACCCUGUCGCUGUUCUCGACGGUGAUAUUCCUGGUGGUGGCGACCCACGCCAACGGCUGGAAGCUCGACCGCAAGUACGGCGCUGUGCUGAUGGUGUGGUACCUUCUCUUCAUCACCUUCGCCAGUCUGUAUGAGCUGAACGUCUUCGGAGACUUCCACCCACCUGAUUGCGGCUCCACCUACUAAAAACGCUCGAAUUUUCUGGAAAAACGUACCUACUUUGUUGGUAAAAAAGAGUGGUACAGCUAAUUUAUUUUAAAAAAUCCCCCCCUCAUCUCAGUCUGAUAGCGCUUAAAACCGCGCAGAUAUUUUAUUAAAACCAAUACCAAACUAAGACUUAAAUACCCUUUUUAUUAUUGUAUAUUAAUUAUUCAAUAAAUCGAAAUGCGACGAGUCAGUUCUGUAGCUGUUAGCUCUACUAAUUGUAAAGUAAAUUAACAUUUAAUUUGUCGUACAUAGCUUUCAGUAAUCCGGGAUUAAAAAGAACACAUCGAAGCAAUUCAUCUACAAGAGAAAUAUUGAAAUUUGACAUUUGCGCAUAUAAAAGUAAGUGCGCAACGCAAACAUAUGUCAAAUAGCAAUAUUGCUUUUUAGAUGAAUUGCUUUAAUCCCACCUUUGCCUUUUUAACCCCACAGUACUCAUUAACGGCCUAUUUAAAUGUAGUAUUAUAAUCGAAUAUUUACAACACAAAUUGGUGAGUCUGCUAAUCCAAUUUCUAUGCCAUUUGCUCUCUCUAAAAUGUCGGAAAUUACACCACAAAUGCUAGGAGUCUCGAAUUUUGCAUGGAAUUCCACUUUAUCGACCCAGGUGUCCACCUAAAAUUCGUAAUAAAUUUUUAUAUUAUAACGUGAAUCAACGUGGAGUGUAUCCCUUCUGUAGGAUGAGUUACGAAAUAGAAAGGCAUCAGUUGGAAAAAGUAGAUUGAUUGAAAAUAAGUUUUUAUAAGUUUUCUUCUUUCCGAUCUUUAUGAAAUAAAUAUAAGUAAAACUAUGAUUUUGCAGUUAAACGCUCUGCGCAAAUGGUUAUAGUGUAAAAAUAUAACCAAAACAGUAUGUUUGUUUACUCAAAUGAUACAGGGAACUGUCAAAAUUUAAGAACACUCACACAGUAGGAACACCUGGGGGGUUAAUAAGGCCACAUUGAAGCAAUUCAUCUAAAACAGCAAUAUUGCAAUUUGACAUUUGCGCAUAUAAAAGUAAGUGCGCAAUGCACACAAAUGUCAAAUAGCAAUAUUGCUUUUUUAGAUGAAUUGCUUCGAUGCGGGCUUUUUAACCCCUUUGAUGGGAAAAACAGGCGGGUUGUAUCCUCAUUGUAAAAGCAGAUUCACCAAAAUAUUUAUAUAAAUAUUUAAGUUUUCUACUAUGCUAUAGUCUUAUGAUUAAAAAAAACAUCGAUGUUGCUAGUUUCUACUUUUACAUAAAGUUACAUACAAGAUUACAUGUCAAAAUUGUGUGAAAACGAAAUAGGAUCGAAAAUAUAAUUUUUUGAAACAAUUUUAUUUCAUCAGUAUUUUUUUUUUACUAUUACACAUAGGAAAAAUGUAGUUUUUACAUUGUUAUUAAUUAUUUGGCAAUGUAAUACAAAGUUGUAUUCAACAGUUUGUACGCGCUUUCACACCGCCCGCAUUGAACGCUAAGACAUUUGCGCCACGUAUCACAUUGAUGAAUACAUUUUUGUACUCAUCUGUUUUUGAAGGUCUGUAACCCAGUGUCUGGAAGAGAAAUGCAGUAAGAGCAGUCCAGUUAUAAAAUGAACGCAUACUGACAUAAAAAUGCUAUAAAAAAUUCUGUAAUUACUUUGUCAUAAUUGCAAUAUACCCAGAGCUAGCACGCACAAAAUUCAGUCAGUUUUCACUCAAUUUUGCGUUUAAUUCAGUAAAUAAUAAAAAUCACAGCUACGGUUCAGUGGUGUUACUCAUCUUAUGAAUAUUUAAUAGAUUUUAGUGGCACUUAUAAAUAAUUUCAAAUAGCUGCAGGUAAGUAAAUAUGUCCAGAAAAUGUAUGUUGCUGUAUUCAUGAAAAUAUUUUACUUCAGGUUGUUGUAAUGUGUACCUAAAAAGCUUUGCAUUAUGUAUAGUUCUUGUUUAGUUGUUUGAUGUGAUAUUGUACUAGGUAUAGCUUGCUCGAGUCUUUAAGACGUAAAAUACUCAUUUUUAAAAUGAUCUCGAUCUUUUAGAAUGUACAUAAGUAAGGUCUUAAGCACUAACCUAUCCUAUAGACGAAUUUUGAAUACCCGUAAAGAGACAAAACAUCGAGAAUAUGACGAAUUACCUAAAUUAAUACAUAGUAGUUUUCAGGAGGUUAAAAAGGCUACAUUGAAGCAAUUCAUCUAAAAACAUAUUGGUAUUUUAGAUGAAUUGCUUCCAUGUGGUCUUUUUAACCUCCAGUACGAGGAUAUAGUAUAAAUUAAAUAGAAUUUACACUUUUUUGCUACGGAUACGCAUGUAGAAAGAGUUGGUAAUUAUAAAUUGACAUUAUUUUUGAAUCAUAUCAAGGAGCAAUUUUAGAGCGAUGAAGAGUUUCGCGAAUUCGUUGCCGCUAUAUACUCCAACAUAGAUUGUUUCACGGCCUGUUUUGCCCUUUGGGUUCGAAGGUCGUUUUGGUAGCCGCUUCUGUAAAAACAGUUGCCUGUCGAUUAACAAAUACUUUAGGCUAGAUACCUAAGAUAUAAAAUCGCUUUUUUGUAAUGAAUCUUAGUUAAAUUCUAACGAAACAAUUGACCAGUUACCCGAUCUUCCAAAGUUAUACCAUGUGAACCUUAUUAGAGUAACCAACGAUAUCUAUAAAGUCCUUCCUAUAAAAAAAAAAUAUAACCGCAAUCGCUGUACCGUGCCUAGAGUAACAGGCGACAGACUAGAGAUUUCAAUCCCAAGACUUUUCUUAUCCCAGAAUCCCCGAACUUUUUCUCAAUCUCGGGAUUCCGAUGUUUGGGAUCUCUAAGAUUGGUGUACCAGGGAAAUAAAACAAAGCAUGACUUCUAAUAAUGUCCCAGUCAAACAGAGACGCAAAUGUGAAGAAUGGUAGUCAGAGGUACGAUCGGGCAUCCCCACGAGCCCACGAAUGCGUUCAGCUGCUUAUAUCUUAUUUUAUAGAUUUUGUCCUUUCCAGCAUGAUAGGUGAUUGUCUAGUCACCUGUUACCAUAAUAUGGUUCAUCAUAUCCACCUUAAGACUUCAUAUAUUAAUUUAUUAAAAUUGGCUAUGACCUUAUUAUUUAUUCGUAGGCUAUGAGUUAUUUUCUGAUCGCUUGUGGGCCCGCCCGGUAUGUAUGUAUGCUUUAGACAGAGAGAUACAGAGUGGAGGGGGCAACUCGGCCGCCUUGUCUCGAUAUACACCUACCUAAGGCGCGGUGCAGCAUGAUUGACGAAUUAUCAUAUUAAUAAUAAGUGUUUCCCAAAAACAACCCUAUACCUCCUAUCCCAAACUUUUUCUUCCCACAUUAUUUUUUAUUAAUACUAAUCCCAUUCCAAUUCUGUGAUCUAUGUAGCUAAAUAAAUUUAUAGGUAGGUAAAACAUACGUAUUGUAAUAUUAUUAUAAUUAUUAUUAAAUAAACACUACGCUGUGCCUAUUUUGCAUUCUGCCUAUAAUGUGAAAAUCGUUUUAUGUGAAGUCUUAUUUGUAUUAGAAAUAGGUUCAGCGUGGUAGAAUAAAUACCUACCAUGGUAGAAUAUAACGAUGUAUGCUCGCUCUAUCUCGACAAAUAACUUGAGUUGGAAAGAGUCGGUAAGUAAUAAUAGUUCCUUUAUAGUCGUCAUAUCUAAGAUGCCUAUUACACUGACAUUUUUAAGCGUGCGGAUUUCCGGUAAGCGAGAAAGUGUACAUUAAAAUCGUCGGAAAACGCAAAGCAAGCUUGUUACAAAAAUUUAACCCGUAAGUCAAAGUGUUAAGGGCCGGGCUGUAUUGUGAGAAAAUAAAAAUAAAUACCUUGUUACGUUUUACCAUGGAAAAAUUACACUUUUAGUGAUGGUUGCUAGGUCGCUGUGAGGUUGUUUACUGACCAGCUUAGCUAGCUAAACAUUAUCACGGAUGAGAGAACACAUUAUAAAAUCUUUUGAUAAAUAUCAUAGAAAGAGAUUUUAGAUUGAAAUGAAUAACGGUACAUUUUCAAAUGAGAUUCAACUACUCUUGAGUCAUGUAAAACUCAAGUUGAGUCGAAUAUUCUAAAAACAAACGAAUCAAAAAAGCGGCGUUCACUGUGUUCUUGUGAAAAGAACUAUAAAAUCACUAUAUGAAGAGAAAACUAAGAAAAAGAAAAAUUUAAAAGCAUUUUUGAGCUUUGUAAUCGCUCAAGUAACGGUCGCUAACUUAAUUAACCAAAAUAAAUUCAAAAGUUUGAUCACUAAGAUAUGAAUUGGCUUAUAAAUUACAAUUAUUUAGUGUCAAUUAGAUAUGGCUAACAUGACAUAAGAUGUGCAAAGCAGAAAUAUAAAAAUAGAAAAAUAUCCCAUUAAAUGAUUUAUUUAAAAAAAAAAUGUUUAUCACGCCUUGAUGUUUUUUCAUAACUAUUAUAAGUUACGUAGUCUUAACAGCGUCAAUUAAAAUCUAUAAUUGUAUAAAAAUAAAUAUGUCUACUAAGCAUUAUUACGACAAUAACUUUGUAUGUUGCGUUUGAAGUCGACCUCUAACUGCCAAAUGUCAACUGUUGCGAAAAUACACAAAUUGAUAUAAUUUAUCUUCCAACAUCCAAAAAGCGUAUAAUAUGAAAGAUUAUCCGUUUUUAUAAUAUUAUUUAUAACUACCUCAUUAUUUUAAAAAGGUCACAAAACUAUAAAUGUUUAUCUUGUGCGAUAUCAUUAUGAUUAAUACUAAUUUAAAUAUUCCACUGCUACUAUUGCAAUACUUUGCAACAAAGAACAAAUGCACGAGACAUGUUGAAAAUUAGCUUCGAAAUUGUACAUUAUUUGUAUCUACGUAGACUUAAUGUAGCAGGCAUGUGCUUACCUACACGAAUCAAUUAAUAAGGUCAAUUGAAUAAUUCAAUUAAACAUUAAAACGAGACUAAAAUGUACUUAAAAGAUCUCAAGAUCUUUAAAAGAACCAACGAUUUGUUAAAAAUGAAAUUGGAGCCAAUUAAUUACAACGUAAUUAUUGAUGAUGUAACUAAUAUAAAGAGGUAUUCUCUUAUUUGUGUGUUUAUUAACGAAAGUAAGACUACACAAUUAAAGAUAAGUGUGUAUGACUUUUCUCUCUUUAAAAACGCGGCGCUUAAAAAUGGUCGUGUGAAAGCGUUAAAGACACAAGCGUUUUAAAGACACGAAUAGAGAAUAUCUCAUUUUUGUUCAAGCGUGGUGUAUCUUAAACAUUCCUGCUUUAAUCGAACGCGCAUAAUAUAUCUAUGGUUGUAACAACAGCCUAAUUUGACUAAUGUAAAUAGUAGUGGACCAUACUAACCAUUAAUUAGAUGUAAGUUUUAAAACACUUCUUUUUUCUUUUUUUAUUAUGUUCAUAUUGUUUAAUUUUUUAAGCUACUUCAAAAAUAGAUUACUUAAAAAUAAUUAGUUAGUUUUGCCUAGUAUUUAUUAGAUCAGCGGGCCUACCACCGAUAGCAUGCGACUUUUUCUCGCCGCCAGAGAGUUCAUCUGUCUCUUUCUGUACAGUACUGUGAGAGAGUGACGGGUGACGUAUGUCGAGGCGAGAAAGAGUUGCACGCUUACGGUGCUAAGCCCGCUGAUGUUGACUUGAAGUUGUGUAUUUGUAAAACUUAAUAAUGUGAUACUGAUUUAUAAAAAUAUCAAUGAAAAAAAUAUCUUUAAUUCUUAAAAUGCUUUGGGCUCAAGAUAACUUUGCUAUCAAAAUAGAUAUUGAAAUAGAUUUGCACUUUAAAACUAAGUAAUGCGGAAAAGUCAUAUUGCUAUAAAAUGUUAUUUUUACCAUAAUCAGAACAAAAAGAAUUAAGUAUAAAUGUUUGGGAAAGUAAUACAGCUAUUUUGCUUCAUCUCUUUAGCAUUUACGAUAGCUACGUGCUAGAUUAUAUUAUACAAUCAGCGUGUUAGUGACACAGUAACGAAAAAAAAGAACGCCUGUUUGAUUGUACUUACUAAAAACGAAGUGUUUUUCUUGUCAGAAAUAUUUAAUUAAUAUUUUGUAUUUUUGCCGCGCUACAUCGCUAGACUACGUAUAUGUACGUAGCGACUAUUCGUCUUGUUCGAUUAACAUUGAUGGUUUUUAAUCAUUUCACAUUUAUUUAUUUUCUUUUAAAUUUGAAUUCUAUGCAGCUUGAAUUAAAGCACAAAAUGGGACUGAAAAUAAUUUAAAAGGUAGUAAAAUUUUCAUUAAUUUUCCGACAGGAAAUUCGUCUUCGAAAAGUUUUCGUUACAAUGUCACUAACUGCCUGUAUAAUUAUAGUGUCGAUUCAGACAGAUACAAACUUAGCCUGAUCUUACUUAGAUAGUAGUAAAAGUAGUAGUGAUAUCCUUCUCUAACGAUAAAUGCAAAGAAGAGACAGGGAUAUCUGUUACUGGAACUGUCAAACUAAAUUGACAUGUGUAAAACUAACUCUGUCUCUUUCUAGCGUUUAUCGUUAGAGAAGGUUAGCAUUAUUUUUAUAACUGUCAAAUUAAGAUUAAGUUUGUGUCCGCCAGGUUCGGCGUCAUUAUGUACCUUAUUCUAAGUAAAUUAUUAUCUUUUCACCUGUUAAUCCUAUAUCAAAUGUCUAAUUCGUGUGUAAAAAUUAUAGUUACCUAAAUAUUCAAUGUUGAUUUGUAUUUAUAUCCUUGUAGCGUAAGACGUAUCAUUUAAAUUUUAACGUUUUAAAUUAAAUGUUAUAAUUUCAUAACUUACAUCUUAUACUAGCAUUAUCUGUGUGACGUGUAAACACGUUCUGUAAGUCUAGCACACUACGUCGAGAAACGAGUACAGAUACAAAACUUUAAAUGAAAAGAUAUGGUUAUUAUAAAAGUUUUGAAAAUAGGGGAGAGUACAAACAGGAAACCCCUAAAGCACACAUAUGUGUAUGUGUACUUUACGAAUGAUUCAUAGUCAAAACAUUACGUUCGCCGCCAUUCUGACACACGCUUGCCAUUUUUACCCUCGUCUCUCGACGAUCUGUCUCAGAACGUGUAAAAACGUUGUACCCGAUAUGUAAGCAUAACUUUUCAUUAUAGUUUAAAGCUGAAAAGAGUGAAAAAAUCAUCUAAAAGUACUUAUUUCCUUUUAUAACAUAUAAGCUCACGACUAUAAUUAGGGCAGUCCAAAGGUGAAUCCUCUGCAAGAUGAACUAAGCAACCCACGCACUCUUCAUCAAGUAUUCUGUUAGACCAACGUGAGAAAUGGUGAGCCGUAUCACCGUCUAUAAUUGUCGAGCCAACUGUAUCAGAAAAAACUGCACUUAAGGUAUAUAAAUAUAAUAACCCUAUUCGUAAACUACUAAAUAGAUUUGUACGCGGUUUUCUCUGUUACGAUUUACAUUUUUAAAUAUACUAUAGGGUAAUAAUUGUACCCAAUGAAGCCGGGGUGAUGUGCUAAUAUUUCUACUCUUUUCAGUCGAAACUAUCGAAAUUAUAACACCCCAAGUCUAAGAUGUUCUCUCGACUCGUCCACUACUCCACUGAACAUUUUGGUAUUUUCAGUUGCGUCCUCGACUUGAAGACUUCACUCAUUGGAGUCGAGCAUAUCACACUACCAACAUAAUAAUAAAAAAUUGACGUCAUGCCUUUCUGGAGUAAACUCGCCCCGAUACCGACCCCGCCGGCGUGGUCGACUUCCCUCAAUCAGCGCUUAUCGCUAUCGACCCACUAGGGUUGAUUAUUUCAAUUAUUUUUUUAUCUCAGAUGACGCCCUGAGCCGAGGUUCGCGCCCAACUGAGCACCCUCAGGCCUGUUGUCUUCAACGUUGUACCGGGUGAGAGCCUUCAGCGCUCCCCAUUUGUCCGGCCAAGUAGUUAAUGCCAUCUGCGGCAAAUCU